UUCUUUUUUGAUAUUCCUACCUGAGAAAUGAAAAUCUGAGGAAGUCCAUUGUUUAUGAGGCAUGCAGAUUCCUCUGCGGAGGAAUGUGGCGUCAACGUUUGGUACCAGCAACUAGCUCCUUCCAAGGGGCAUUUGCAAAAGGGAGCGCAUCAGUUCCCAAGGGUACAGUAGGGAGCAUUUUUCUUUGAAGAGGCCGGAAUGUUUUUUGAAGGAACAUGGCCUGGGGAGGUCUUCCGUGAGAAGUUCGCGCCUUUUCCAAAGGUGUCUUCGUUGUCUUCUUUUGGGGAAACCGACUCAACUCUGCCUUCUGUGUGCCUGCCUGUGGUCCCAACAGCAGGAAGACCUGCGGCCACCGUGCAGAGGAUGCUGUGACGCUCACCGUGUUUUCUUUUCUGUCAUUGCAGGUGGACGGGACGGACGGUGAAAGCUGUGAGUAUUCUGGAACCCUGCUCCGCUGAGGAGAAGUCCAGGUGUUGAGGAAGGGAGGGGGGGCUUUCCUGCUCCUUUGGUUGCAGAGACACGUUGAGGCCAUAGAGCCCAGGGAAGUUCUGAGCACACGGAGGACAGACCAGGGCAGUGCUGUGAGGCCCCAGACAAACAUCGGUAGGCGACAUAAGUGGGGGACAGAUUCUAACACCUUGAUUCCUCAUGUCUGUGUUUCUGCAGCACAGAGCAUGGACAGUCUGUGUGGCAGCGUCCACGAUGAAGAUGACACAGGUAGGAACAGCUCUCGGGUAGGGGCCAAUGGGAGAGGGUUCCCGGACACUUGGGUUGCGCCUGCUGCUUGGGGUGUGGGCAGGUGAGUCUGAAAUCUAACAACAGAAAGAAAUUGGUGUAAAGAUGUUCAUCGCCUGUUUUAAGAGGGAGAGGGAGCAGAUGAAGAGGUGCCGGAAUGUUGGCAUCUGUGCUCACAUUGGGUCGAAGCGUCUCAGUCCCUGGAGCCGAGGGCAGGUGUGGGCACCUGGAGGAAAAACCAGGGUGAUGCUCCGUGACCCGCAGUCACCUCAGGGACGGGGGAGAAGCGGGAGGGCCGCUGUUUGUACGUCCUUGAUUCCCCGCGGUGUGUUUCUGCAGACUCGGUGGUGGAGAGCAGCAACAGCCACCAGGACGAGGAGGCUGCAGCAACGCACGACGAUGUUGUGGAGGCCGGUGGGAGUGAGAAGACCGAGGAGGAGGCCCAGGCUGUGACCAAGGAGGAGGAGGCGGGCCCGGCCCCUGAGAAGGGGGCAGAGGAGGCCGCAGCCGUUGGCGAGGCAGAGGAGGAGGCGGGCCCAGGCAGUGACAAUGACAAGACGUCCCCAGCCAGGGCUGGGGCUGAGCAGGAAGAUGAAUCUGCCCCCAAGGUAAGCUCACCUUUCUUGAUGUGAGGUUGGAAAAGUCGCCUCCUUUCUUUUUUGAUAUUCCUACCUGAGAAAUGAAAAUCUGAGGAAGUCCAUUGUUUAUGAGGCAUGCAGAUUCCUCUGCGGAGGAAUGUGGCGUCAACGUUUGGUACCAGCAACUAGCUCC
rnacentral:lncRNA from 1 species